rnacentral:tRNA from 1 species
GGUGAGGUGUCCGAGUGGUCGAAGGAGCACGCCUGGAAAGUGUGUGUGUCGUAAGGCACCGAGGGUUCGAAUCCCUCCCUCACCG